rnacentral:rRNA from 1 species
GAUCCUGGCUCAGAAUCAACGCUGGCGGCGUGCUUAACACAUGCAAGUCGCGCGCGAAAGGGGGGUAACUCCCGAGUAGAGCGGCAGACGGGUGAGUAACGCGUGGGUGAUCUCCCUCCGAGUGGGGAAUAACACCGGGAAACUGGUGCUAAUACCGCAUGACAUUCCGUGGCUAUUUGACACGGAAUCAAAGCUGGGGACCGCAAGGCCUAGCGCUUGGAGAGGAGCCCGCGUCCGAUUAGCUAGUUGGCGGGGUAACGGCCCACCAAGGCGACAAUCGGUAGCCGGCCUGAGAGGGCGGACGGCCACACUGGGACUGAGACACGGCCCAGACUCCUACGGGAGGCAGCAGUGGGGAAUUUUUCGCAAUGGGGGCAACCCUGACGAAGCAACGCCGCGUGGAGGAUGAAGGCCUUCGGGUCGUAAACUCCUGUCGACCGGAACGAAAGCCAUUCGGCCCAAUACGCCGGGUGGUUGACUGUACCGGUGGAGGAAGCCACGGCUAACUCUGUGCCAGCAGCCGCGGUAAUACAGAGGUGGCAAGCGUUGUUCGGAAUUACUGGGCGUAAAGGGCGCGUAGGCGGUCGCGUGAGUCCCGUGUGAAAUCCCUCGGCUUAACUGAGGAACUGCACGGGAUACUGCGUGACUUGAGUUCGGGAGAGGGAAGCGGAAUUCCGGGUGUAGCGGUGAAAUGCGUAGAUAUCCGGAGGAACACCGGUGGCGAAGGCGGCUUCCUGGACCGAGACUGACGCUGAGGCGCGAAAGCUAGGGGAGCAAACGG